rnacentral:rRNA from 1 species
UUCCCUUCGGGGACAUUGGUGACAGGUGGUGCAUGGUUGUCGUCAGCUCGUGUCGUGAGAUGUUGGGUUAAGUCCCGCAACGAGCGCAACCCUUGUCUUUAGUUGCCAUCAUUAAGUUGGGCACUCUAGAUAGACUGCCCGGGAUAACCUGGAGGAAGGUGGGGUUGACGUCAAAUCACCACUCCCAUUAUGCUUAGGGCUACACAUGUGCUACAAUGGGUAGUACAGAGGGUUGCCAAGCCGUAAGGUGGAGCUAAUCCCUUAAAGCUACUCUCAGUUCGGAUUGUAGGCUGAAACUCGCCUACAUGAAGCUGGAGUUACUAGUAAUCGCAGAUCAGAAUGCUGCGGUGAAUGCGUUCCCGGGUCUUGUACACACCGCCCGUCACACCACGGGAGUUGGAGACGCCCGAAGCCGAUUAUCUAACCUUUUGGAAGAAGUCGUCGAAGGUGGAAUCAAUAACUGGGGUGAAGUCGUAACAAGGUAGCCGUAUCGGAAGGUGCGGCUGGAUCACCUCCUUUCUAAGGAGA